rnacentral:lncRNA from 1 species
GUGGCUGCUGUGGUGGAUGGGGGUGUGGUUCUUAGGCCAAUGGAGUUAUGUUCCCAGGGAGAUUAUGACUACCUCUGCUGCGUCAUGCAGGUAGCCAGAAAAGUGAGGGAAAACUGGCAGUUACAGGUCUCACCCAGCUCCCGCACAGCCCAAAGGGCUGUUCUCACUCCCACCGUGGCCCUCCCUGAAACAGCACCAAGUUUGUUUCCAGACAGCGGCUGAGCAGGGCUGAGAGCUUUCCUCAGUCUACCAGCCUUCCAGCUGAUAAAGCAAGCAGGGCUUCCAGGUUUCAUGUCUCCCUGCCUGCCACAGCUUCUGUGCUUUGUCUGCACUCCCAAUUCACCCCUUCCUCUGGGUUCUGUCCAGGAAACUUCAUGCUUGGUCAAAAUUGUUACAAAGUUCAGCUGGAAGUUUCCUUCUCCCUGUGUUUUUUUCCCAAUUCCUCUGGCAGCCCUCCCCAAGGACUCCUGUGAGACAAAGUCAGAAAUGACUUCCCUGGGGACUGAGAGAGACAACAGGGCUCUUCUCGAUGCUUCUUCUACCCCUGUAUUUUGCUCAGCUCUCUGAAGUUAUCUCAGUUCCAGGAGGCCUGCAUUAUUGUUGUCGAGUUCAAAAUCAUCUUUCAAAAUCAAGAAUUGACAUCAGUUCAUUACCCACGGGUGAGUACACACAUACACACACAUGCACACACACACCAUAUUUACACAUAGGUGCUGAGAAUCUGUUCAGUGAUAUAUUUGCAAAUAAUCUUCAAAAAUAUGAUUUUCAUAUUUGUGUGGACCUAUUUAUGCAUUUCCUCAUUCCUCAUAUCAAUUAACCUAUUAACCAAGAAUUACAAGAAUAUAGAAAGGAAGAAUGAGA